AGAGUUUGAUCCUGGCUCAGAUUGAACGCUGGCGGCAGGCCUAACACAUGCAAGUCGAACGGUAACAGGAAACAGCUUGCUGUUUCGCUGACGAGUGGCGGACGGGUGAGUAAUGUCUGGGAAACUGCCUGAUGGAGGGGGAUAACUACUGGAAACGGUAGCUAAUACCGCAUAACGUCGCAAGACCAAAGAGGGGGACCUUCGGGCCUCUUGCCAUCGGAUGUGCCCAGAUGGGAUUAGCUAGUAGGUGGGGUAACGGCUCACCUAGGCGACGAUCCCUAGCUGGUCUGAGAGGAUGACCAGCCACACUGGAACUGAGACACGGUCCAGACUCCUACGGGAGGCAGCAGUGGGGAAUAUUGCACA
rnacentral:rRNA from 1 species